rnacentral:piRNA from 1 species
UCCUUUCGCCCAGAUCUAUGCUCUGUAGGA